rnacentral:lncRNA from 1 species
UUGUUGUUUAGUCAUUUAGUCGUGUCUGACUCUUUGUGACCCCCUGGACCAGAGCACGCCAGGCACUCCUGUCUUCCACUGCCUCCCGCAGUUUGGUCAAACUCAUGCUGGUAGCUUCGAGAACACUGUCCAGCCAUCUCGUCCUCUGCCGUCCCCUUCUCCUUGUGCCCUCCAUCUUUCCCAGCAUCAGGGUCUUUUCCAGGGAGUCUUCUCUUCUCCUGAGGUGGCCAAAGUCUUGGAGCCUCAGCUUCAGGAUCUGUCCUUCCAGUGAGCACUCAGGGCUGAUUUCCUUCAGAAUGGAUCGGUUUGAUCUUCC